AUUGAACGCUGGCGGCAGGCCUAACACAUGCAAGUCGAGCGGUUGAGGUAGCUUGCUACCGAUACAGCGGCGGACGGGUGAGUAAUACAUGGGAAUCUGCCUGGUAGUGGGGGACAACGUUUCGAAAGGAACGCUAAUACCGCAUACGCCCUACGGGGGAAAGGGGGGGAUCUUCGGACCUCUCGCUAUCAGAUGAGCCCAUGUCAGAUUAGCUUGUUGGUGAGGUAAAGGCUCACCAAGGCGACGAUCUGUAACUGGUCUGAGAGGAUGAUCAGUCACACUGGAACUGAGACACGGUCCAGACUCCUACGGGAGGCAGCAGUGGGGAAUAUUGGACGAUGGGCGCAAGCCUGAUCCAGCCAUGCCGCGUGUGUGAAGAAGGCCUUAGGGUUGUAAAGCACUUUCAGUGGGGAGAAAGGCCUUUUACUUAAUACGUAAGAGGAUUGAUGUUACCCACAGAAGAAGCACCGGCUAACUCCGUGCCAGCCGCCGCGGUAA
rnacentral:rRNA from 1 species